rnacentral:rRNA from 1 species
UACAGAGGUCUCAAGCGUUGUUCGGAUUCAUUGGGCGUAAAGGGUGCGUAGGCGGCGCGGUAAGUCGGGUGUGAAAGUCCUGGAGCUCAACUCCAGAACUGCCUUUGAUACUGCGGUGCUCGAGUACUGGAGAGGAGACUGGAAUUUACGGUGUAGCGGUUGAAAUGCGUAGAUAUCGUAAGGAAGACCAGUGGCGAAGGCGGGUCUCUGGACAGUUCCUGACGCUGAGGCACGAAGGCCAGGGGAGCAAACGGG